rnacentral:rRNA from 1 species
ACCACCUAGUAUCGUUUUAAUCGAUGGGGGGACGCAGUAGGAUAGGCGAAGCGUGCUGUUGGAGUGCACGUCCAAGCAGUAAGGCUGAGUGUUAGGCAAAUCCGGCACUCAUAAGGCUGAGCUGUGAUGGGGAGAGGAAAUUGUUUCCUCGAGUCGUUGAUUUCACACUGCCGAGAAAAGCCUCUAGAUAGAUAACAGGUGCCCGUACCGCAAACCGACACAGGUAGUCAAGAUGAGAAUUCUAAGGUGAGCGAGCGAACUCUCGUUAAGGAACUCGGCAAAAUGACCCCGUAACUUCGGGAGAAGGGGUGCUCUUUAGGGUUCACGCCCAGAAGAGCCGCAGUGAAUAGGCCCAAGCGACUGUUUAUCAAAAACACAGGUCUCUGCUAAACCGUAAGGUGAUGUAUAGGGGCUGACGCCUGCCCGGUGCUGGAAGGUUAAGAGGAGUGGUUAGCUUCUGCGAAGCUACGAAUCGAAGCCCCAGUAAACGGCGGCCGUAACUAUAACGGUCCUAAGGUAGCGAAAUUCCUU